rnacentral:rRNA from 1 species
UACGGAGGGUGCGAACGUUUAAUCGGAAUCACUGGGCGUAAAGCGCGCGUAGGCGGUUUUGCUAAGUGGGAUGUGAAAUCCCCGGGCUUAACCUGGGAAUUGCAUUUCAAACUGGCCGACUAGAGUACGGUAGAGGGAGGUAGAAUUUCCUGUGUAGCGGUGAAAUGCGUAGAUAUAGGAAGGAAUACCAGUGGCGGAAGGCGGCCUCCUGGAUCGAUACUGACGCUGAGGCG